rnacentral:rRNA from 1 species
UGGGGAGUAUUGCGCAAUGGGCGAAAGCCUGACGCAGCCACGCCGCGUGAGUGAUGAAGGCCUUCGGGUUGUAAAGCUCUGUCGGGAGGGACGAAUACCCGCAAGGGUUUGACGGUACCUCGCAAGAAAGCACCGGCUAACUCCGUGCCAGCAGCCGCGGUAAUACGGAGGGUGCAAGCGUUGCUCGGAAUUAUUGGGCGUAAAGCGCACGCAGGCGGCUGAUUAAGUCGGAUGUGAAAACCCCGAGCUCAACUCGGGAACUGCAUUCGAAACUGGUCAGCUGGAGUUCGGGAGAGGGAAGCGGAAUUCCUGGUGUAGAGGUGAAAUUCGUAGAUAUCAGGAGGAACACCGGUGGCGAAAGCGGCUUCCUUGCCCGCAACUGACGCUCAUGUGCGAAAGCGUGGGGAGCAAACAGG